AAUAUUGGACAAUGGGGGAAACCCUGAUCCAGCCAUCCCGCGCGUAUGAUGAAGGCCUUCGGGUUGUAAAGUACUUUUGGCAGAGAAGAAAAGGUACCUCCUAAUACGAGGUACUGCUGACUGUAUCUGCAGAAUAAGCACCGGCUAACUACGUGCCAGCAGCAGCGGUAAUACGUAGGGUGCAAGCGUUAAUCGGAAUUACUGGGCGUAAAGCGUGUGUAGGCGGUUAGGAAAGAAAGAUGUGAAAUACCAAGACUCAACCUUGGAACUGCAUUUUUAACUGCCGAGCUAGAGUAUGUCAGAGGGGGGUAGAAAUCCACGUGUAGCAGUGAAAUGCGUAAAUAUAUGGAGGAAUAACGAUGGCGAAGGCAGCCCCCUGGGAUAAUACUGACGCUCAGACACGAAAGCGUGGGGAGCAAACAG
rnacentral:rRNA from 1 species